AAGACAUUAAAUUAAAAAGAAAAAAAAGAAAAUAUAUAGAAGAGGAAUAAGAAGAAAGAUCAGCUGGGCUGUUUCGGUCUGAAGCCAAGACAAGGCAGUAUCGCUUUACGGCGAUUUGAGGGUUUCGAAUCAUUUGUCUUCGCCAUUUCGAGUUGUCUACUGGAAGCUGCAGAUGUAUGUGAUUGAGUAUAAAGUCUGAGAAAUAUUGAUUUUCAACAGUUUUCUCUUUUCUUUUGUCCUUAUCUGAUUUGGGUAGUUUUGAUUUGUAAGAAUGGGGUUGUUUAGAGCUGGUUCUGCUUUGGCGAAGAUUGCCAUUAGGAGAACUUUAGCACAAGGGGGAGGAUCUUAUGCUGCGAGAUCACGUAUUAUUUCAUCUCAGAAUCGAUAUUUUCACACCACGGUUUUUAAGCCCAAAGCACAAUCUGCGCCAGUGCCUCGCCCUGUUCCUCUUUCGAAGCUAACUGAUAGCUUUCUGGAUGGGACGAGCAGUGUGUAUUUGGAGGAGCUUCAAAGGGCUUGGGAGGCUGACCCCAACAGUGUUGAUGAGUCUUGGGAUAAUUUCUUCAGGAAUUUUGUGGGUCAGGCGGCAACGUCUCCUGGUAUUUCAGGGCAGACAAUUCAAGAGAGUAUGCGUUUGUUGUUGCUUGUUAGGGCUUACCAGGUUAAUGGUCACAUGAAAGCCAAGUUGGAUCCUUUGAGUUUGGAAGAAAGAGAAAUCCCGGAUGAUUUGGAUCCUGCCCUUUAUGGAUUUACAGAUGCUGAUCUUGAUAGGGAAUUCUUUCUUGGUGUGUGGAGGAUGGCUGGAUUUUUAUCAGAAAAUCGUCCAGUGCAGACUCUCAGAUCAAUUUUGACCCGUCUUGAGCAAGCUUACUGUGGGAGUGUUGGAUAUGAAUAUAUGCAUAUUGCAGAUCGUAACAAAUGUAACUGGUUGAGAGACAAGAUUGAGACCCCAACACCAAUGCAGUACAAUCGGCAGCGCCGAGAGGUGAUUCUUGAUCGCCUUAUAUGGAGCACACAGUUUGAGAACUUCUUAGCCACUAAGUGGACCACAGCAAAAAGAUUUGGGCUUGAAGGUGGUGAGACUUUGAUUCCAGGGAUGAAGGAGAUGUUUGACAGGGCUGCAGAUCUUGGAGUUGAGAGCAUUGUUAUUGGAAUGCCUCACCGAGGAAGAUUAAAUGUUUUGGGUAAUGUUGUUCGGAAGCCUCUUAGACAGAUCUUUAGUGAGUUUAGUGGUGGUACGAAGCCUGUGGAUGAAGUUGGACUUUACACAGGAACUGGUGAUGUCAAAUAUCACUUGGGUACUUCCUAUGAUCGACCGACUAGGGGUGGAAAACAUAUUCAUCUUUCUUUGGUUGCAAAUCCAAGUCAUUUGGAAGCUGUUGAUCCAGUUGUUGUUGGGAAAACUAGAGCAAAGCAAUAUUACUCCAAUGACAUUGAAAGGAUCAAGAAUAUGGGCAUUUUGAUUCAUGGUGAUGGUAGCUUUGCAGGACAAGGUGUGGUGUAUGAAACUCUUCAUCUUAGUGCUCUUCCUAACUACACCACUGGAGGAACAAUCCACAUUGUCGUGAAUAAUCAAGUCGCUUUUACUACUGAUCCUAGGGCUGGAAGAUCAUCACAAUAUUGCACUGAUGUUGCCAAAGCUUUGGAUGCUCCUAUUUUGCAUGUAAAUGGCGAUGACAUGGAAGCUGUUGUCCAUGUUUGUGAGCUUGCUGCAGAGUGGCGCCAAACCUUUCAUUCAGAUGUAGUUGUUGAUCUGGUUUGUUAUCGUCGGUUCGGACACAAUGAGAUUGAUGAGCCAUCGUUCACACAACCUAAGAUGUAUCAGGUCAUCAGGAAUCAUCCUUCAUCUCUUGAGAUCUACCAGAAAAAACUCUUAGAAUCUGGGCAGGUGAGUCAGGAGGAUAUCAAUAAAAUACGUGAUAAGGUCAAUAAAAUCCUUAAUGAAGAAUUUUUGGCGAGCAAAGAUUAUGUUCCGAAGAGAAGAGACUGGCUUUCGGCAUAUUGGUCUGGUUUCAAGUCUCCUGAACAGAUCUCAAGAGUUCGGAACACUGGAGUUAAACCAGAGAUACUAAAGAAUGUUGGAAAAGCAAUUACUGUAUUUCCAGAAAAUUUCAAGCCUCACAGAGCAGUCAAAAAAGUUUAUGAACAAAGAGCACAAAUGAUUGAAACAGGAGAGGGCAUUGACUGGGCACUUGGUGAAGCCCUUGCUUUUGCCACUUUGCUUGUGGAAGGUAACCACGUCAGAUUGAGCGGCCAAGAUGUUGAGAGAGGUACCUUUAGUCAUCGACAUUCUGUUGUGCAUGAUCAAGAAACGGGGGCGAUCUACUGUCCUCUGGACCAUGUUAUCAUGAAUCAGAACGAGGAGAUGUUCACUGUAAGCAACAGUUCUCUUUCAGAGUUUGGAGUUCUUGGAUUUGAGUUGGGUUAUUCGAUGGAAAAUCCUAAUUCAUUGGUAAUAUGGGAAGCCCAGUUUGGUGAUUUUUCAAAUGGUGCUCAAGUUAUAUUUGAUCAAUUCUUGAGCAGUGGUGAAGCAAAGUGGCUGCGGCAGACAGGGCUUGUUGUGCUGCUUCCUCAUGGCUAUGAUGGCCAGGGCCCUGAACAUUCAAGUGCAAGGUUGGAACGUUUCCUUCAGAUGAGUGACGAUAACCCUUUUGUUAUUCCGGAGAUGGAUUCUACCCUUAGAAAGCAAAUUCAGGAAUGCAACUGGCAAGUUGUGAAUGUUACCACUCCCGCCAACUAUUUCCAUGUUCUUCGGAGACAGAUUCACAGGGAGUUCCGUAAGCCCCUAGUUGUGAUGGCACCUAAGAAUCUUCUUCGACACAAAGAUUGCAAGUCUAAUUUGUCCGAGUUUGAUGAUGUUCAAGGUCAUCCAGGCUUUGACAAGCAGGGAACCAGAUUUAAGCGCCUCAUAAAGGACCAGAACAAUCACUCUGAUCAUGAAGAGGGUAUUAGACGUCUAGUUCUUUGCUCUGGAAAGAUUUACUAUGAGCUUGAUGACGAGCGAACAAAAACGGAUGGAAAAGACGUUGCUAUAUGUAGGGUCGAACAACUUUGCCCCUUUCCUUACGACCUCAUCCAGCGGGAGCUGAAGCGAUAUCCAAAUGCCGAGGUCGUCUGGUGUCAGGAGGAACCGAUGAACAUGGGCGCAUUUACCUACAUUUCUCCCCGUCUUGCCACUGCCAUGAGGGCUCUUGGAAGAGGCACAUCAGAAGACAUUAAAUAUGUUGGUCGUGCUCCGUCAGCCUCUACUGCCACUGGAUUCUAUACUGUUCACGUAAAGGAACAAACUGAGCUGGUGAAGAAAGCAUUACAGCCUGAACCUAUCAAUAACGGCUUCUGAACACAUUCUUAGUUCUAUAACUUUGGAAUUUCUCCAGAAUAAUCCUAAACAUUCCAGCAAUGUUUGAUGCGAGCAUCAUCCACUAAGACCAUUUUUUAAUUGAGAUUUCCUUUUUUUUGACGUUGAUAUGUCGAUGAUAAUAGCUUUUUUGUGGUUGGAUUAAUAGAAGAUUGGAUAUACUUUGUUCAAUAAUUGCAGAAAGACUAAUCUGCACAGUUUUCCACUCACUCACCAAUGAAAGUAGUCUUUGUUUUUGUUUUCUUCACAAGUGGUCCGAUUAUGUAUAAUUUGAUCUCAAAUCUCGAUGCUACACUCUUUCAAUUAUACUUUAAUGUCGUUUCUCUAUGGAAGGAAACUCUCUUAUUCUCA